rnacentral:tRNA from 1 species
GGAAUGUAGCUUAGUGGCAGAGCACUUGCCUAGCAUGUGUGAGGUCCUGGGAUCAAUUUUCAGUACCA